AUUGAACGCUGGCGGCAGGCCUAACACAUGCAAGUCGAGCGGAUCGGCGGACGGGUGAGUAAUACCUAUGAAUCUGCCUGGUAGUGGGGGAUAACGUUCGGAAACGGACACUAAUACCGCAUACUAUCAUCUGAGCCUCGGUCGGAUUAGCUAGUUGGUGAGGUAAUGGCUCACCCAGGCUACGAUCCGUAACUGGUCUGAGAGGAUGAUCAGUCACACUGGAACUGAGACACGGUCCAGAGUCCUACGGGAGGCAGCAGUGGGGAAUAUUGAACAAUGGGCGAAAGCCUGACCCAGCCAUGCCGCGUGUGUGAAGAAGGUCUUCGGAUUGUAAAGCACUUUAAGUUGGGAGGCGUUACCGACAGAAUAAGCACCGGCUAACUCUGUGCCAGCAGCCGCGGUAAUUC
rnacentral:rRNA from 1 species